AUACGGAGGGUGCGAGCGUUAAUCGGAAUUACUGGGCGUAAAGCGCGCGUAGGCGGAUUGGUCAGUCGGAUGUGAAAGCCCUGGGCUCAACCCAGGAACUGCAUUCGAUACUGCCUGACUAGAGUAUGGUAGAGGGAAGUGGAAUUUCCGGUGUAGCGGUGAAAUGCGUAGAUAUCGGAAGGAACACCAGUGGCGAAGGCGACUUCCUGGGCCAAUACUGACGCUGAGACCCGAAAGCGUGGGGAGCAAACAGGAUUAGAUACCCCAGUAGUCC
rnacentral:rRNA from 1 species